rnacentral:rRNA from 1 species
AGUGAACGCUGGCGGUAGGCCUAACACAUGCAAGUCGAACGGCAGCACAGUAAGAGCUUGCUCUUACGGGUGGCGAGUGGCGGACGGGUGAGGAAUAAAUCGGAAUCUACUUUUUCGUGGGGGAUAACGUAGGGAAACUUACGCUAAUACCGCAUACGACCUACGGGUGAAAGCAGGGGAUCUUCGGACCUUGCGCGAUUGAAUGAGCCGAUGUCGGAUUAGCUAGUUGGCGGGGUAAAGGCCCACCAAGGCGACGAUCCGUAGCUGGUCUGAGAGGAUGGUCAGCCACACGGGAACUGAGACACGGUCCCGACUCCUACGGGAGGCAGCAGUGGGGAAUAUUGGACCAUGGGCGCAACCCUGAUCCAGCCAUACCGCGUGGGUGAAGCAGGCCUUCGGGUUGUAAAGCCCUUUUGUUGGGAAAGAAAAGCAGCAGGUUAAUACCCCGCUGUUCUGACGGUACCCAAAGAAUAAGCACCGGCUAACUUCGUG